rnacentral:rRNA from 1 species
GGAUCCAGACUUUGAUCAUGGCUCACGAUGAACGCUAGCUACAGGCUUAACACAUGCAAGUCGAGGGGAAACGACAUCGAAAGCUUGCUUUAGGUGGGCGUCGACCGGCGCACGGGUGAGUAACGCGUAUCCAACCUGCCCAUCACUUGGGGAUAACCUUGCGAAAGUAAGACUAAUACCCAAUGACGUCUCUAGAAGACAUCUGAAGGAGAUUAAAGAUUUAUCGGUGAUGGAUGGGGAUGCGUCUGAUUAGCUUGUUGGCGGGGUAACGGCCCACCAAGGCGACGAUCAGUAGGGGUUCUGAGAGGAAGGUCCCCCACAUUGGAACUGAGACACGGUCCAAACUCCUACGGGAGGCAGCAGUGAGGAAUAUUGGUCAAUGGACGAGAGUCUGAACCAGCCAAGUAGCGUGCAGGAUGACGGCCCUAUGGGUUGUAAACUGCUUUUAUAAGGGAAUAAAGUGAGCCUCGUGAGGCUUUUUGCAUGUACCUUAUGAAUAAGGACCGGCUAAUUCCGUGCCAGCAGCCGCGGUAAUACGGAAGGUCCGGGCGUUAUCCGGAUUUAUUGGGUUUAAAGGGAGCGUAGGCCGGAGAUUAAGCGUGUUGUGAAAUGUAGACGCUCAACGUCUGCACUGCAGCGCGAACUGGUUUCCUUGAGUACGCACAAAGUGGGCGGAAUUCGUGGUGUAGCGGUGAAAUGCUUAGAUAUCACGAAGAACUCCGAUUGCGAAGGCAGCUCACUGGAGCGCAACUGACGCUGAAGCUCGAAAGUGCGGGUAUCGAACAGGAUUAGAUACCCUGGUAGUCCGCACGGUAAACGAUGGAUGCCCGCUGUUGGUCUGAAUAGGUCAGCGGCCAAGCGAAAGCAUUAAGCAUCCCACCUGGGGAGUACGCCGGCAACGGUGCAA